rnacentral:rRNA from 1 species
ACUCCUACGGGAGGCAGCAGUGGGGAAUAUUGCACAAUGGGCGCAAGCCUGAUGCAGCCAUGCCGCGUGUGUGAAGAAGGCCUUCGGUUGUAAAGCACUUUCAGUUGUGAGGAAGGUGGUGUCGUUAAUAGCGGCAUCAUUUGACGUUAGCAACAGAAGAAGCACCGGCUAACUCCGUGCCAGCAGCCGCGGUAAUACGGAGGGUGCGAGCGUUAAUCGGAAUUACUGGGCGUAAAGCGCAUGCAGGUGGUUUGUUAAGUCAGAUGUGAAAGCCCGGGGCUCAACCUCGGAACUGCAUUUGAAACUGGCAGACUAGAGUACUGUAGAGGGGGUAGAAUUUCAGGUGUAGCGGUGAAAUGCGUAGAGAUCUGAAGGAAUACCGGUGGCGAAGGCGGCCCCCUGGACAGAUACUGACACUCAGAUGCGAAAGCUGGGGAGCAAACAGGAUUAGAUACCCUGGUAGCACAGAG